rnacentral:lncRNA from 1 species
AAUGCCUUUUAGGUUUACAGUCUUUUCCUCCCCACGGCUUCUCUUUCCUCCCCGUCUCAGGCACUGGGCAUUUCCAGUCGAUCCAGCAGGUCUGGCUUCUCUCACAUAUGCAGUAAGGGUUAGGGGAGAAGGUCCCAGCUCCUCUUGUCUCUAGCAGAGUGUAAACUGGCUCUGCUGAGGAGGUGGCUGUGCUUUUAUUCCUUCUCCUGAGAACUGUUUAUAUAUUAAGGAGCUUCACAGCCUCCAACAUAAGGAAAGCAGGCCUCAAACUUCUUCAUGGGAAAAGAUGGCUUCUCUUUUUUAAUUGAAUGAACUAGAAGAAGUUCAUUGUUAUUCAUCAACUUCAAAGAGACUAUAUGAGGCCCCUUGGCCAGGACUACAGAGCAGUAUUUUUUAAUCAGAAAUUAUAGCCAAAAAGAAGAGACCAGAACACAUGGGGGAUGAAGUGGGAUGAGAGGAAGGAGAAGAGAUGAAGGUGAAAGACCACUCUGAGGUCAAGAUAAACUUUGUUAAAAUUACAUGGUGUUUCAUCUGGAUGUAUUCACAGUAAAAAUUAGUUCAAUAUAGUUUAUUUUUAGCUUGCAAAAAAGCAUAUAGGGAGAAAGAUCAGAAAGGACACUCAGUGGGGAGGAGAGCAGAGUUUUUGAUGUCGUUAUCAUUAUUUUAAUACACUUGAGAGCUAAGUAGGGGGGCUCAGUUUGUGAACAUUCACUGAGCUUUAUGCCUAAGAUAUGUGCACUUUUCUAUGCAUAUGAAAACAAAAAGAACACAACAUAUGGAGUAAACAAUGUCCUAAUGAGACUGUGACUAGAAUAUUACCAAAGUGGCAUUCAGGAAGAUAGCAAGGCAAUAAUAAUAUUUUAAGAAAACUGAUUUCUGCAUACUUGAUGACAUUAACAAUUUACCACUGAAAAAGUUUAAAUAUCCAAUGCAUAUUAAUUUAUGGAAAAUAAUUCUAUCUCACUUUUUAUUUUAGGUUGGUCUGUCUUUACUAUUUUUUCUGAUUUUAACCAUUAAAAGGGAAUGAACAAGCUUCAUUUACUAGCUUCUAGUCUAGAAAAUGAACAUAUAUUUCUCAAAAUAAAAGAACAAACUAGCUAUUUCCCUGAAAGGAACAAUAUUUUCAUUAUAAGUAUUUUAGUAUUAAAUGUCAUAUUUCAUAAAUAAUAAAUAGUAGAACAGUAUUAUGGCAUAAUAAAAGACAAACUAUAAUUCUUAACUGAAAAUUUUUGAGAGACUUAAAAAACAAGUGUAAUUAUGUUAAUUCUUCCAAAAGAAAGACCUGGUAGUAAUACUUCAUUAUCUUUAAUCUUUGCUAUUGCAUGAACAUCCUAACAUUAAGUAUUCUUUUCUCACAAGUUUUCAGCUGUCUUUAGGUCACUGCUGUGGACUAACUGGGUGCUUGAUAAUGGCAGGAAAGAUUAAGUGCUCCGGUUACCCAAUUUCAGAUAAAUCUUAUUAAAAUUCUUAACAAACUUCAUUACAUAUAAAGAAAAGAGACGGUGUUUACUGAGUACUUACCAUAUACCAAGUACUAUACUACACACUUACUAUCUAUUUUUUGUUUCAUUAAUACAGGAAGAAAUAUCCAUUUAAGAAAUAAAUUAACUGUAUCUUACUAACACCACUGUCAGUACUGUGUCAGGAAGAAAUACAAUGUGUAGAUGUUUAAGUAUAAGAUGAUGUGAAAAACUUCUAAACAUUAAAUGCUUAAAUUGA